rnacentral:rRNA from 1 species
AGGAUCCGAGCGUUAUCCGGAAUUAUUGGGGGUUUAAAGGGGGUCCGUAGGCGGGAUAAUCAGUCAGUGGUGAAAGUUUGUGGCUCAACCAUAAAAUUGCCAUUGAUACUGUUAUUCUUGAGUUAUUGUGAAGUGGUUAGAAUGUGUAGUGUAGCGGUGAAAUGCAUAGAUAUUACACAGAAUACCAAUUGCGAAGGCAG